CUCAUACCUGAAAUAUUUUAAAGAAUUAAAGCAAAACAUAAAUAAUAUUAGAUACACUGAGUUCCUCUACUACCCCAAGGCCUUUGCUCCUGGAUGUCCCAGUUCCCUCCAUCAGAUGGGUGCUCCUCUAACGUAAGAGUCUGCUGGGAAAGACAUGAGGGAAAUAGACUCACUUGAGCCGGAAGUCAUCUGCAGCCAGCCUGGCAUUGUCGAUCUCCAGGAUGACCCGGUUGUUGUCAGUAGUGGCUUCCAGGAUCUACAAAACACAGAUGGACACUCUGGAGCUGUGCUUAGAGAGCAAAAUUGGACGUCUUGACUAUGCUUGAGGGAGACAAAGCACGCUGUGAGUUGCAUUUCUUUACUCUGUGCACUGGGGACAUGUGCUGUAACACUCUGUGGAGGCCAGAGGACAACUGUUGGGAGUCGGCUCUCCUUCUGUGUGUCCUAGGAAUGAAACUCUGGCCUGCUGAGCAUCUCACCAGCCCUGCACUCAGUUUCUUCCCUCUUAGCAGCAGCCCAGGAGGUGGCUUCUGUAUUAUCCCCCACUUUAUACACAGAGAACUGAAUCUUACGGUAGAAUCAGAACUAAACCCCAAGGCUAAUUCUACCUGUCCCCAGACUCAUUUUACCUCUAUUUUUCAUACAGUAAAGUUUAUAAAUCCUAA